ACAGUGCCAGAAACUUGUGUACUGGUGGCUGAAAGAGACUUAGUACUGUACGAGCAAGAGCCAGCUGAGGAGUAAACUUUAAAUGUGCCUGUGGAAUUUCAGGUUUCUCUUCCCAGCAAAGCUGAGCAAAAUGUGAUCAUUCACUCUCCAGAGAAGUUUUUGAGAGCGCAGGCUGUACCAAAACAACAUUUGCUGUGGGUUCUUCUGAAGACCCUGACCUGGAGCUAGCCGAGGAUCUCGGGGCUCUGGAGAUGGGUGGAUUGAGGGGUGGUGUCACAACGUGAGACCCGUGUGUCGUUGGGGGAGUCAGGAUAGCUGCUGUGUGGCUGGAGACCCGGGACCUUUGCGAUCUUCAGGCACAGAGCUCAAAAAAAGUGACGUAAUGGACUUUUAACAUCGUAAACCAGCGAGUUGUUUGUUAUGUCUGCCCGCUUGCUGGGAAAAUGGAGACUCCUCUUUCUCCCUUAUUAGGAAGAGAGAGAACUUGCGUGACACACAUCAAAGUUGCUGGUUGAAUGCAGCAGGCCAGGCAGCAUCUCUAGGAAGAGGUACAGUCGACGUUUCGGGCCGAGACCCUUCGUCAGGACCCUAGCGCUCUGGUU